UACGUAGGGUGCGAGCGUUAAUCGGAAUUACUGGGCGUAAAGCGUGCGCAGGCGGUUUUGUAAGUCAGAUGUGAAAUCCCCGGGCUUAACCUGGGAAUGGCAUUUGGGACUGCAAGGCUGGAGUUUGGCAGAGGAGACUGGAAUUCCUGGUGUAGCAGUGAAAUGCGUAGAUAUCAGGAGGAAUACCGAUGGCGAAGGCAGGUCUCUGGGCUAUAACUGACGCUCAUGCACGAAAGCGUGGGGAGCAAACAGG
rnacentral:rRNA from 1 species